UACGUAGGGGGCAAGCGUUGUCCGGAAUCAUUGGGCGUAAAGGGCGCGUAGGCGGCCUGCUAAGUCACACGUGAAAUCCCUCGGCUCAACCGGGGAACUGCGUGUGAUACUGCAGGGCUAGAGUCCGGAAGAGGCGAGUGGAAUUCCUGGUGUAGCGGUGAAAUGCGCAGAUAUCAGGAGGAACACCGAUGGCGAAGGCAGCUCGCUGGGACGGUACUGACGCUGAGGCGCGAAAGCGUGGGGAGCAAACAGG
rnacentral:rRNA from 1 species